GGGGAAGGAUGAGAAGCUUCGACUAAGGUUCGAUUCGAGCGCAGCGAGAAAGCGUUGCCGCAGGCAACGACCCGAAGGGCGAAGCGCGCAGCGCUGAGUAAUCCUUCCCCCACCACCA
rnacentral:sRNA from 2 species